UACGAAGGGGGCAAGCGUUGUUCGGAAUUACUGGGCGUAAAGGGCGCGUAGGCGGCUUAUCAAGUCAGGCGUGAAAUUCCCGGGCUCAACCUGGGGGCUGCGCUUGAUACUGAUGAGCUUGAAUGCGGGAGAGGAUAGUGGAAUUCCCAGUGUAGAGGUGAAAUUCGUAGAUAUUGGGAAGAACACCGGUGGCGAAGGCGGCUAUCUGGCCCGAAAUUGACGCUGAGGCGCGAAAGCGUGGGGAGCAAACAGG
rnacentral:rRNA from 1 species